rnacentral:rRNA from 1 species
AUAUCAAUAAGCGGAGGAAAAGAAACCAACAGGGAUUACCCUAGUAACGGCGAGUGAAGCGGUAACAGCUCAAAUUUGAAAUCUGACCUUCACGGGUCCGAGUUGUAAUUUGUAGAGGAUGUUUCGGAUAAGGCUUUGGUUUAAGUUUCUUGGAACAGGACGUCAUAGAGGGUGAGAAUCCCGUAUGUGAUCGGUUGCCUUUGCCAUGUGAAGCCCCUUCGACGAGUCGAGUUGUUUGGGAAUGCAGCUCUAAAUGGGAGGUAAAUUUCUUCUAAAGCUAAAUACUGGCCAGAGACCGAUAGCGCACAAGUA